rnacentral:rRNA from 1 species
UGUGGGGAAGGCACAGACAGCCGGAUGUUGGCAGAAGCAGCCAUCAUUUAAAAGAAAGCGUAAUAGCUCACUGGUCGAGUCGGCCUGCGCGGAAGAUGUAACAGGGCUAAACCAUGCACCGAAGCUGCGGCAGCGACACUAUGUGUUGUUGGGUAGGGGAGCGUUCUGUAAGCCUGCGAAGGUGUGCUGUGAGCAUGCUGGAGGUAUCAGAAGUGCGAAUGCUGACAUAAGUAACGAUAAAGCGGGUGAAAAGCCCGCUCGCCGGAAGACCAAGGGUUCCUGUCCAACGUUAAUCGGGGCAGGGUGAGUCGACCUAAGGCGAGGCCGAAAGGCGUAGUCGAUGGGAAACAGGUUAAUAUUCCUGUACUUGGUGUUACUGCGAAGGGGGACGGAGCUAUGUUAGCCGGGCGACGGUUGUCCCGGUUUAAGCAUGUAGGCUGGUUGUCCAGCAAAUCCGGAUAAUCAAGGCUGAGGUGUGAUGACGAGGCACUACGGUGCUGAAGUAACAAAUGCCCUGCUUCCGGAAAGCCUCUAAGCAUCAGGUAACAUCAAAUCGUACCCCAAACCGACACAGGUGGUCAGGUAGAGAAUACCAAGGCGCUUGAGAGAACUCGGGUGAAGGAACUAGGCAAAAUGGUGCCGUAACUUCGGGAGAAGGCACGCUGGUGUGUAGGUGAAGCCCCUGCGGGUGGAGCUGAGACCAGUCGAAGAUACCAGCUGGCUGCAACUGUUUAUUAAAAACACAGCACUGUGCAAACACGAAAGUGGACGUAUACGGUGUGACGCCUGCCCGGUGCCGGAAGGUUAAUUGAUGGGGUUAUCCGUAAGGAGAAGCUCUUGAUCGAAGCCCGGUAAACGGCGGCCGUAACUAUAACGGUCCUAAGGUAGCGAAAUUCCUUGUCGGGUAAGUUCCGACCUGCACGAAUGGCGUAAUGAUGGCGGGCUGUCUCCACCCGAGACUCAGUGAAAUUGAACUCGCUGUGAAGAUGCAGUGUACCCGCGGCAAGACGGAAAGACCCCGUGAACCUUUACUAUAGCUUGACACUGAACAUUGAGCCUUGAUGUGUAGGAUAGGUGGGAGGCUUUGAAGCGUGGACGCCAGUCUGCGUGGAGCCAACCUUGAAAUACCACCCUUUAAUGUUUGAUGUUCUAACGUUGGCCCCUUACCGGGGUUGCGGACAGUGUCUGGUGGGUAGUUUGACUGGGGCGGUCUCCUCCCAAAGCGUAACGGAGGAGCACGAAGGUUAGCUAAUCUGGUCGGACAUCAGGAGGUUAGUGCAAUGGCAUAAGCUAGCUUGACUGCGAGCGUGACGGCGCGAGCAGGUGCAGCAGGUCAUAGUGAUCCGGUGGUUCUGAAUGGAAGGGCCAUCGCUCAACGGAUAAAGGUACUCCGGGGAUAACAGGCUGAUACCGCCCAAGAGUUCAUAUCGACGGCGGUGUUUGGCACCUCGAUGUCGGCUCAUCACAUCCGGGGCUGAAGUAGGUCCCAAGGGUAUGGCUGUUCGCCAUUUAAAGUGGUACGCGAGCUGGGUUUAGAACGUCGUGAGACAGUUCGGUCCCUAUCUGCCGUGGGCGCUGGAGAAUUGAGGGGGCUGCUCCUAGUACGAGAGGACCGGAGUGGACGCAUCACUGGUGUUCGGGUUGUCAUGCCAAUGGCACUGCCCGGUAGCUAAAUGCGGAAGAGAUAAGUGCUGAAAGCAUCUAAGCACGAAACUUGCCCCGAGAUGAGUUCUCCCUGAGACUUUAAGUCUCCUGAAGGAACGUUGAAGACGACGACGUUGAUAGGCCGGGUGUGUAAGCGCAGCGAUGCGUUGAGCUAACCGGUACUAAUGAACCGUGAGGCUUAACCUU